rnacentral:tRNA from 1 species
GCUCGGGUGGCGGAAUUGGUAGACGCUCAGGACUUAAAAUCCUGUGAUGGCAACAUCGUGUGGGUUCAAGUCCCAUCCUGAGUA